GGGGAAUUUUCCGCAAUGGGCGAAAGCCUGACGGAGCAAUACCGCGUGAGGGAGGAAGGCUCUUGGGUCGUAAACCUCUUUUCUCAGGGGAGAACACAAUGACGGUACCUGAGGAAUAAGCAUCGGCUAACUCCGUGCCAGCAGCCGCGGUAAUACGGAGGAUGCAAGCGUUAUCCGGAAUGAUUGGGCGUAAAGCGUCCGCAGGUGGCUAUGUAAGUCUGCUGUUAAAGCGUCUAGCUCAACUAGAUAAGAGCAGUGGAAACUACAAGGCUAGAGUGCGUUCGGGGCAGAGGGAAUUCCUGGUGUAGCGGUGAAAUGCGUAGAGAUCAGGAAGAACACCGGUGGCGAAGGCGCUCUGCUAGGCCGCAACUGACACUGAGGGACGAAAGCUAGGGGAGCGAAUGGGAUUAGAUACCCCAGUAGUCCUAGCCGUAAACGAUGGAUACUAGGCGUGGCUCGUAUCGACCCGAGCCGUGCCGUAGCUAACGCGUUAAGUAUCC
rnacentral:rRNA from 1 species